rnacentral:rRNA from 1 species
GUGGGGAAUAUUGCGCAAUGGGCGAAAGCCUGACGCAGCGACGCCGCGUGGGGGAUGAAGGCCUUCGGGUUGUAAACCCCUGUCGAGGGUGACGAAUGAAUGGUGGCAUAACACGCCACUGCUUUGACGGUAGCCCUAAAGGAAGCACCGGCUAACUCUGUGCCAGCAGCCGCGGUAAGACAGAGGGUGCAAGCGUUGUUCGGAAUUACUGGGCGUAAAGGGCGCGUAGGCGGUCGUAUAAGUCGGGUGUGAAAUCCCUUGUUUCAAGCGAGGAACUGCAUUCGAAACUGUAUGACUUGAGUCCUGGAGAGGGAAGCGGAAUUCCUGGUGUAGAGGUGAAAUUCGUAGAUAUCAGGAGGAACAUCCGAGGCGAAGGCGGCUUCCUGGACGGUGACUGACGCUGAGGCGCGAAAGCGUGGGUAGCAAACAGGAUUAGAUACCCUUGUAGUCC